CAGUAGCCACGGAAUACGGAGGGUGCAAGCGUUAAUCGGAAUUACUGGGCGUAAAGCGCACGCAGGCGGUCUGACAAGUCAGAUGUGAAAUCCCCGGGCUUAACCUGGGAACUGCAUUUGAAACUGUCAGGCUGGAGUCUUGUAGAGGGGGGUGGAAUUCCAGGUGUAGCGGUGAAAUGCGUAGAGAUCUGGAGGAAUACCGGUGGCGAAGGCGGCCCCCUGGACAAAGACUGACGCUCAGGUGCGAAAGCGUGGGGAGCAAACAGGAUUAGAUACCCGCGUAGUCCCUGUCUCUUAUACA
rnacentral:rRNA from 1 species